AUUGAACGCUGGCGGCAGGCCUAACACAUGCAAGUCGAGCGGGGUUUUCGGACCUAGCGGCGGACGGGUGAGUAAUGCGUAGGAAGCUGCCCGAUAGAGGGGGAUACCAGUUGGAAACGACUGUUAAUACCGCAUAAUGUCUACGGACCAAAGUGUGGGACCUUCGGGCCACAUGCUAUCGGAUGCGCCUACGUGGGAUUAGCUAGUUGGUGAGGUAAUGGCUCACCAAGGCGACGAUCUCUAGCUGGUUUGAGAGGAUGAUCAGCCACACUGGAACUGAGACACGGUCCAGACUCCUACGGGAGGCAGCAGUGGGGAAUAUUGGACAAUGGGCGCAAGCCUGAUCCAGCCAUGCCGCGUGUGCGAAGAAGGCCUUCGGGUUGUAAAGCACUUUCAGCGAGGAGGAAGGGUUAGUCGUUAAUAGCGGCUAAUUUUGACGUUACUCGCAGAAGAAGCACCGGCUAACUCUGUGCCAGCAGCCGCCGCAGUAA
rnacentral:rRNA from 1 species